UGGCGGCGGUGAUGAAUUUAGAAUGAACUCACAUGUCAGACUUCGGAGAUUUUCUAAAUCAAUGAGAUUGACCAUUCUAAAUUUACUGAGCUUA